rnacentral:rRNA from 1 species
GACGAACCGUGCGAACGUUGUUCGGAAUCACUGGGCUUAAAGGGCGCGUAGGCGGUGCGGUGCGGUUUCGGUGAAAUCCCUCGGCCCAACCGAGGAACAGCCGGGGCUACGGCCGCGCUAGACGGCAUCAGGGGACAGUGGAACUCCCGGUGGAGCGGUGAAAUGCGUAGAUAUCGGGAGGAACGCCGGUGGCGAAAGCGACUGUCUGGGGUGCCUGUGACGCUGAGGCGCGAAAGCCAGGGGAUCAAACGGG